rnacentral:rRNA from 1 species
AACGAACGCUGGCGGCAUGCCUAACACAUGCAAGUCGAACGAGACCUUCGGGUCUAGUGGCGCACGGGUGCGUAACGCGUGGGAACCUGCCAUUAGGUUCGGAAUAACUCCCCGAAAGGGGUGCUAAUACCGGAUAAUGUCUUCGGACCGAAGAUUUAUCGACUUUGGAUGGGCCCGCGUGGGAUUAGCUAGUUGGUAGGGUAAAAGCCUACCAAGGGGACGAUCCAUAGCUGGUCUGUGAGGAUGAUCGGCCACACUGGGACUGAGACACGGCCCAGACUCCUACGGGAGGCAGCAGUGAGGAAUAUUGGACAAUGGGCGAAAGACUGAUCCAGCCAUGCCGCGUGAGUGAUGAAGGCCUUAGGGUUGUAAAGCUCGUUUACCCGGGAUGAUAAUGACAGUACCGGGAGAAUAAGCGCCGGCUAACUCCGUG